rnacentral:rRNA from 1 species
GGGUCAGGAGGUUGGUCGUGCCACCGGUACGUACUGGUCUCACUGAUUCCUCCUUCCUGAAGAACCGUAAUGCCAUUAAUUUGGUGUUGCGGGGAAGCAGGACUGUUACUUUGAAAAAAUUAGAGUGUUUAAAGCAAGCUAACGCUUGAAUACAUUAGCAUGGAAUAAUGAAAUAGGACGAUCGAUCCUAUUUUGUUGGUUUCUAGGAUUGACGUA